GAGGCGCGGUGCUGACGGUGGCUGGGCUGCCGGGUGCGCUGUGGAACCGCCUCCUGCUAGAGCAGCGGGCUGGCGACGGUCCUCGCCGGGGCGGGAAGCGGCUCAGGCUGCCCUCGCUGGCCUGCGGCGGCGCGGCUGGAAGCGCGGGCCACUCGUGCGUGGGUCACUCAGGACUGCGCCUCGCGCGACUGUGUGUGCAGGAAACAAGCAGGAAAUACCCUAAAAGAGAAUGAAGCGCCAUGUUGAGGGUCGCGGACGUCGCGAGUGCUGUGGGAAUGUGGGCUGAGGUGGAGAGUUAUGGUAGCCCGUGUUACAGGCUCAGGGGUCUGAAAGAAGCCUAAUCGUGGAGGCGGCAUCUGAGGAGGGUCUUGAAGGCUGGGCAGGCAUUUGCCCGACAGAGAUGGAGGAAGCUAGUCCUGUCUGAUGGAGGAAACAGGGCGGAGGCGUGGAGGGAGCCGUGCAGCGCUGGUGUGAGGAGCAGCGAGCAGGCCAGGCCUGUAAAGCAGAGUGAGGGAACCAGGAUAGAGAAGGCUGUACAGGAAGCAUGGUGAUGGCAUCUGCAUGGCGCCUGUGGAGGCCCCAGGGAGCUUUUACUCAUGAUGGAAGGCACAGAGGGAGUAGGCACAUCACAUGGUCCGAGGAGGAGCAAGAGAAAAUGGGAGUGGGGGCUGCAACUCUCCUGUUACUCUGGGGGAAAGCUUAACAACUAAGAUUCAGAGCAAAGGAAGACGAUGCCGGCAGCAGGCUUUGGGUGCUUGUGGGGCAGCAGGUUGUACCAGGGGCAGGUGCAGACCCCUGCCUCCCUUGCCUUCACCACAGUCACAACAGGCCAGGCCAGCCCAUCCAUCAUGUCUCUAGGAUAUCUCAGGGGUUCAAGGCCACCACACCAUUUGCAGCACACUCCACUCGCUGAUCUGUGAUAUGGGAGAUGUGCUUAUUGGCGAAUAAAUCACCAUGUCAAGUUAACGGCCUGUGUCCAAGGCGAGUGACUUCGAGGUCAGCAUAGCAGCAUACCAUUGGAUGCAGCGGGUUCUGCUUCUGCGCACAGUGCCUCAUCAGAACAUAAAUUUUCAAAUACCAGAUGUGAUAAAAGACAACAUCGAGCUUUCUGUUUUUUGAAGGAGAGGAGAAGGAGAUCCUGGAUACAUUCUCUGAAAGGUGCCUCCACUUCAUCACUGAUCCCGACACGUGGGAGGAAGGAGAGGAGGACAGUGAAGACCAUCAGCAAGGGAGAGCAGGUUCCCUGCCCUGGAUCCCUGCCCUGGUCCCCUGCCCUGAUUCCCUGCCCCAUGUUGUAGGUCUUUGGGCUACAUUUCUACCCAUUGGCUGAACAUAAAAACUGUCCUAUGAACUAUUUGGCAGCAAGUUCACAGCAAAGAAUAUUAACUCUGUGAGGCACCUUAGACAAUGCCUGGCUUAACCCCCACUUGACAAAUAAAGACACAUGUUCUGACUCACCCACCAUCCCAGGAGCAACUGACCAGGCUGAGGAACUCUGUCCACUGCCUGCAGCCCACUUGGCCUUCCACUGUGACGUCCAGGCUGAGGAACUGUGUCUGCCACCUGCAGCCCACUUGGCCUUCCACUGUGAUGUCCUUUCCAGGACUCUGAGCAGAGAUG
rnacentral:lncRNA from 1 species